rnacentral:rRNA from 1 species
GAUGAACGCUGGCGGCGUGCUUAACACAUGCAAGUCGAACGGAAAGGCCCAAGCUUGCUUGGGUACUCGAGUGGCGAACGGGUGAGUAACACGUGGGUGAUCUGCCCUGCACUUCGGGAUAAGCCUGGGAAACUGGGUCUAAUACCGGAUAGGACGAUGGUUUGGAUGCCAUUGUGGAAAGUUUUUUCGGUGUGGGAUGAGCUCGCGGCCUAUCAGCUUGUUGGUGGGGUAAUGGCCUACCAAGGCGUCGACGGGUAGCCGGCCUGAGAGGGUGUACGGCCACAUUGGGACUGGGAUACGGCCCAGACUCCUACGGGAGGCAGCAGUGGGGAAUAUUGCACAAUGGGCGCAAGCCUGAUGCAGCGACGCCGCGUGGGGGAUGACGGCCUUCGGGGUGUAAACUCCUUUCGCUAGGGACGAAGCGUUUUUGUGACGGUACCUGGAGAAGAAGCACCGGCUAACUACGUG